rnacentral:tRNA from 1 species
GAAGAUCAGAAGUGUUGUGGCUCAGAAUAUCUGCUUGAUGUGCAGGAGGCCCCAGAUUCAAUUCCUGGCAUCUACA